GUGUGUCAGGUUUCAGUCUUUAGUGUGAGGUUUUGAACUUCAAGUAAGCGACUGUAGUCCGAGUAGCUCUGAAAGCCUCCAUAAUAUGGAUACACGAGAUUCCCUGGGAAACAGAUUACAAAAGAAUCUAUGCGGUAUGCAAGAAACUGGUUUUCCGCCGCAUGUUUCUGUUCUCGCAGUCGGACGUUAUGGACAAACAUAUGGCCAAAAUAGAGUUCGAACAUCCUGGGCAGUUAAUACACUUACAGGUAUAUAUAACUUAAUAAAUUUGCCCCUCCUUUCUUACUUUUAAAGAAUCCAUGAUAUAAAACAGCUGAUAUUAUGCGCAAAUCUUCCCCUACACCUUUAUAUAUAUAUGAAGGGGCUCUCCUAAGAUUUAAGUUAAGUUUUUUAAUGUACCCUGGUAUCUCAGUACCCACUUUUGAGAAUGGAUUGAAACUUCACACACUUAUCUAUCGUGAUAAACAUUUUACAAAAUUAUGCCCCUAUUUUGCCUUAAAAACUAAGCUAGUAUCUUAUUACCAACUGAUGGUAAUGGAUUGAAACUUCACGACUUUAUUCACUGUUAUAAUCUUACAUACACUGUGCAGAUCCCGUUAUUCUACUUUGUGUUUAGCUCCACUGUUCGGAGAAUAGGGGUGCUAUUCUACUCGCCCAGGGAUCGGUGUCGGCGUUAGCGUCGACGUGACCUUUCUUGAUUAAAGUUUUUCGGCAACCUUUGUUUUUCUUUGAUACUAUUGCUUAUAUCUUACUAUCUCUUAACAUUAACAUUGUUCAACAUGUGACAUCAUCUAAUAGUCUUCUAUGAAGAAUAAUCAAAUUAUGUCACUGGGAUGAAAAGAGGCCCCGCCGCGGUGGUCUCAAAUUUUACAUAGACUUAUACAGGAAACAACUUUAAAAAUCUUCUUUUCUUAAACCUCAAGACCUGAACCUAUGUAGCAUUGCCUUUUGGUCCUCAACCAAAAUUAGAUUAUUACCGUGGGAUAAAAAGAGACCCCACUCGAGCGCCCCAAGUUUUACAUACAAAUUUGUUUGCGAUUCUCGAGAAGUCAUCCUAUCUUUAUCUGUCAUACGUCUGUUAAACGUCGCUUUUAAAUGCAUCUUACAUUUCGGAGUGAAAUAACUUAUGACUAAAAGAAACAUUUUUGGAGGCAUUAUUAAACAUUUUCCCUUUGCAGGUAGUUUUGAAACACAAACACAAGGAGA